rnacentral:rRNA from 1 species
GACGUACCACCCGAACGUUAUUCGGAUUCACUGGGCUUACAGAGUCCGUAGGCGGUCAAGAAAGUUAGGCGUGAAAUCCCUCAGCUCAACUGAGGAAUAGCGCUUAAAACUACUUGGCUAGAGAGAGUCAGAGGUGAGCGGAACUGAUGGUGGAGCGGUGAAAUGCGUUGAUAUCAUCAGGAACACCGGUGGCGAAAGCGGCUCACUGGGGCUUUUUCGUGACGCUGAGGGGACGAAA